GACGAACGCUGGCGGCGUGCUUAACACAUGCAAGUCGAACGGAAAGGCCCUGCUUUUGUGGUGUGCUCGAGUGGCGAACGGGUGAGUAACACGUGAGUAACCUGCCCUUGACUUUGGGAUAACUUCAGGAAACUGGGGCUAAUACCGGAUAGGAGCUCCUGCUGCAUGGUGGGGGUUGGAAAGUUUCGGCGGUUGGGGAUGGACUCGCGGCUUAUCAGCUUGUUGGUGGGGUAGUGGCUUACCAAGGGUUUGACGGGUAGCCGGCCUGAGAGGGUGACCGGCCACAUUGGGACUGCGAUACGGACCAGACUCCUACGGGAGGCAGCAGUGGGGAAUAUUGCACAAUGGGCGGAAGCCUGAUGCAGAGACGCCGCGUGCGGGAUGACGGCCUUCGGGUUGUAAACCGCUUUCGCCUGUGACGAAGCGUGAGUGACGGUAAUGGGUAAAGAAGCACCGGCUAACUACGUG
rnacentral:rRNA from 1 species